UACGUAGGGCGCAAGCGUUGUCCGGAAUUAUUGGGCGUAAAGAGCUCGUAGGCGGUUUGUCGCGUCUGCUGUGAAAACCUAAGGCUCAACCUUGGGCUUGCAGUGGGUACGGGCAGACUAGAGUGCGGUAGGGGUGACUGGAAUUCCUGGUGUAGCGGUGGAAUGCGCAGAUAUCAGGAGGAACGACCGAUGGCGAAGGCAGGUCACUGGGCCG
rnacentral:rRNA from 1 species